rnacentral:rRNA from 1 species
GUUUCCGUAGGUGAACCUGCGGAAGGAUCAUUAAUGAAUUCACUAUGGAGUUGUUGCUGGCCUCUAGGGGCAUGUGCACGCUUCACUAGUCUUUCAACCACCUGUGAACUUUUGAUAGAUCUGUGAAGUCGUCCUUCAAGUCGUCAGACUUGGUUUGCUGGGAUUUAAACGUCUCGGUGUGACAACGCAGUCUAUUUACUUAACACACCCCAAAUGUAUGUCUACGAAUGUCAUUUAAUGGGCCUUGUGCCUAUAAACCAUAAUACAACUUUCAACAACGGAUCUCUUGGCUCUCGCAUCGAUGAAGAACGCAGCGAAAUGCGAUAAGUAAUGUGAAUUGCAGAAUUCAGUGAAUCAUCGAAUCUUUGAACGCACCUUGCGCCCCUUGGUAUUCCGAGGGGCAUGCCUGUUUGAGUGUCAUUAAAUUCUCAAACUCACAUUUAUUUGUGAUGUUUGGAUUGUUGGGGGUUGCUGGCUGUAACAAGUCGGCUCCUCUUAAAUGCAUUAGCAGGACUUCUCAUUGCCUCUGCGCAUGAUGUGAUAAUUAUCACUCAUCAAUAGCACGCAUGAAUAGAGUCCAGCUCUCUAAUCGUCCGCAAGGACAAUUUGACAAUUUGACCUCAAAUCAGGUAGGACUACCCGCUGAACUUAAG